rnacentral:rRNA from 1 species
AAUCUACCUUUUACAGAGGGAUAGCCCAGAGAAAUUUGGAUUAAUACCUCAUAGUAUUAUGAAAUGGCAUCAUUUUAUAAUUAAAGUCACAACGGUAAAAGAUGAGCAUGCGUCCCAUUAGCUAGUUGGUAAGGUAACGGCUUACCAAGGCUACGAUGGGUAGGGGUCCUGAGAGGGAGAUCCCCCACACUGGUACUGAGACACGGACCAGACUCCUACGGGAGGCAGCAGUGAGGAAUAUUGGACAAUGGGCGCAAGCCUGAUCCAGCCAUGCCGCGUGCAGGAUGACGGUCCUAUGGAUUGUAAACUGCUUUUGUACGGGAAGAAACACUGGUUCGUGAACCAGCUUGACGGUACUGUAAGAAUAAGGAUCGGCUAACUCCGUGCCAGCAGCCGCGGUAAUACGGAGGAUCCAAGCGUUAUCCGGAAUCAUUGGGUUUAAAGGGUCCG